UACGUAGGGGGCAAGCGUUGUCCGGAAUCAUUGGGCGUAAAGAGCGUGUAGGCGGCCCGAUAAGUCCGCUGUGAAAGUCCAGGGCUCAACCCUGGAAUGCCGGUGGAUACUGUCGGGCUCGAAUCCGGAAGAGGUGAGUGGAAUUCCUGGUGUAGCGGUGAAAUGCGCAGAUAUCAGGAGGAACACCCAUUGCGAAGGCAGCUCGCUGGGACGUUACUGACGCUGAGACGCGAAAGCGUGGGGAGCAAACAGG
rnacentral:rRNA from 1 species